AUGAAAGAACACUUUGAUGUUCGCAACGUGAGUGGAAUUGACCGCUCCGAGAGAUCACUUUGGUCCUGGUGGUCGACAAUCAACUCGGAUUGUCAAAGGUGGGCGGCCUGUCAAAAGGCGGUUGACAAGUUGAACCCAAGUGGCACAAAUGAGGACGAUAGAGUAAGUGGUAUUUCAUACAUGUUCAUCGUACUUGUUGUUGGUGUUCGAAGUGCUAACUUGCUUUGUUUUCAUGUAGUAUCACAUUGCACAAAACUUGUUCAAAGAAGAGAAGAGGAAAACCAAGAAGGGGAAGAUCAAGAAAGGAAGGAUCUU
rnacentral:rRNA from 1 species